AACACUCAUCCUCUGCCUGGCGUUUGCCGGAGUCAAAGUCUACCAGAGAAAACGAUUGGAAGCAAAGCAGCAAAAGGUGGAAGCUGAGAAAGAGGAAGCAGGCGGAGAAGAAGGAGAGCUAAAGGGAGUGAAAGAUUUUGUGGUGUAAGUGUCAGCUCGAGUGGACUCCAGCUGAGAAGAAAGUCUUAAUCAUGGAACGAUAUGUCAGAAGACAAACGCGCAGCCUCUAGCCUAACUGAAAAUGAUGUGAAUUUUUAUAUGCUUGUAGAAGAACCAGUAUUUUGUUUGCUAAAAUAAAAUAACCUUUGUAGAAUAAGCCAGA